GAUGAACGCUAGCUACAGGCUUAACACAUGCAAGUCGAGGGGCAGCAUUAGGUAGCAAUACUGAGAUGGCGACCGGCGCACGGGUGCGUAACGCGUAUCCAACUUUCCUGUUACUCUGGGAUAGCCUUCCGAAAGGGAGAUUAAUACCGGAUGGUGUUUGAAUUCCGCAUGUUAUUCAAACUAAAGAUUUAUCGGUAACGGAUAGGGAUGCGUGACAUUAGGUAGAUGGCGGGGUAACGGCCCGCCAUGCCCACGAUGUCUAGGGGUUCUGAGAGGAAGGUCCCCCACACUGGAACUGAGACACGGUCCAGACUCCUACGGGAGGCAGCAGUGAGGAAUAUUGGUCAAUGGUCGGAAGACUGAACCAGCCAAGUAGCGUGAAGGAUGAAGGUUCUAUGGAUUGUAAACUUCUUUUAUAUAGGAAUAAAACCUCCCACGUGUGGGAGCUUGUAUGUACUAUAUGAAUAAGCAUCGGCUAACUCCGUGCCAGCAGCCGCAGUAAAAC
rnacentral:rRNA from 1 species